rnacentral:lncRNA from 1 species
AAAUUUCAAAUCUCAUUUCCACGCAUUACUGACUUGUACGUUAUAUUUGUACCAUGUACAUGGAGUGCUUAUAUGGUUUUUGUUUUUUAGACACGUUUGCUUCAUUGUUGAGUUGUACAGUACAACCCAACCAUGCAUUGAAGAGUUGUACGAAAACGUACUAUCGGCUUAUGCUUGUACUGAAAAAUGAAGAUGACAAAUCACAUAUAUAUCAUGUUCAUUUAAGAACUCAUACGCUUUUUAGAUGCCUAAGUAGUCCACUAAAUCAAUAUUUGAUGCAGAGUUUAGUUGUACCGUACAACACAUUAAUGCAGCGGGAUGAAAAAAACAGAAGCAUGGUUGAUUUGUACAAUAUAGCCCAUCACCUAUAAUAGCCUAUGCUAUGCAUUGUAGGUCCCACGUAAAAUUAUUUUCUUCAUUUUCUAUUUGUACCAUGUACAUGUAGAUAUGUGGAUGCGUUUUUAGUUGUAAUGUACAACCCAACAAUGCAGGUUCUUUAUGUAAAUGCAUAUAUACGUAGAGAGAGAGAGAGAGAGAGAGAGAGAGAAUAUACCCGGAAGAGGAGUGGCACCCAAGAGUGUAUCAACGCCCUUGUACUUGCAAGCCUUGCAGUAAACAACACCCUGAACAGCCACCAACUUCCUCGCCGGGAUCGGAGCUAGGAACGGUGCCGGUGAGGAACUCGGUGGGUGAACAGGUGCCUUGGUGGGUGCCUGAACAGGUGCUUUAGUGGGUGGGUGAACCGGAGCAUGAACAGGAGCUUUCGUCGGCGCGUGAGCCAUGGGAGGCGAAGCAAGUUUGUGAUGGUGACCAACACCAGGUUUGUGGUGGUGGUGAUGGUGGUGAGGUGCCGGAGCUGCCACUGGUUGGUACGACGGAGCGUGGUGUGGCGCUUGUGUCCAGCUGACAUUGUCGUCGACACCAUCACCAAACACAUUCAUCGUCAAGCAUAAGCUCAGCAGCACUGCUGAGAGUAGAACCCUACUCCCCAUUGUAGAAUGUGUUGUUGGUGUUUGUGUGUGAGAGAGAACUAGAGAGAGAGUGAGAGGACGGUGGAAAUGGUGAGAAUGGAGUGGUGACAUUUAUACAGGGUUGGAAGGGUAGCUCUUGACAUUUUAUGACACAUUUACGUGUUAAAAGCAGAGGUGAAUGGGCCCUAGUAAAUACGAACUCGAAAAAAGAUGCAUGAUUUGUUUCGAUGCGUUUCACAAAAGUGCUUUAUUGCGCUAUAAAUAAUUGUUUUUUUAUAUAUAAAAUAACUUUUACUAUGGGUCGACGUGAAUUGAAGUCCCUAAAACAACAUUUAAGAUUUGUUAUUGACCUCUAUUAUGUUAUAUUUUUAUAAGAAUACAAUUGAAUCUAAGUUAUUUGUAAUGUUUUUUUGUAUGACAAAUUUCUUGGGCGGUGAUUGUGUAAAGAAAAGGAUAACACACCAAGUUUUAAAUGCAUAAACUUUGAUUGCGGGAGCGUAUAGUUUUUUAUGGACAUGCGGUGAGUCAUAAUGACAUGAUGGAUGCAAUAAUGAAAUAGGAAUUAUCGAGUAAUUUCACAACAAAAAUUAGGAGCUUAAUGGUUUUGAUAGGUUAAUAAGGGAAAAAAAUAAGGAAGGUUUAUUAGAAAAAUGACACUGACAGACUCCGUUCACUAGCUAGUGACUAGUUUAAGAAACAUGAAAAAUCGUUUUGGAAGAGAUGCAACUAUGCUAGAAAAAGUCCUUCAUACGUUUAACAGAAGCAUGUUGGCAUACGUUUCACAUAUUGUCUAAUGAGCCUUUUGGAUUAAUAUCUUGAAUAGGGUUUGGUAAUAGCCAAUCUUAUUAGUCGUUUUUAAAUUUUAAAUUUUAACUAGGAGAUGUUGGCAAUAAUGGUGUCUGUUUGGUUCUUUGGGUUAAUAGACCUUAAAGAAAGAUUUGGUAAUUUCCAAAUUCCAAGUACAAAUGACUUAGAAAUCAAUAUAUGUCAUGAACAUAAUAUAAUAUAACAUGUUAACUGAGUGACAAUUAAAUUAUAUAAUGGAUCAUUAGAAUAAUAAUUCUAAGUUGAAAAUAAGAAAUGUUGCUUUCAAAAAAAUUACGAAUAUAAGUAAUUAUCUGAAAUAAUAGUUUUUAAAAUAUUAAUAUUUGUUGAAUAUUGUUGUGUUAAUGGUUGUUGUUAAAACUUAUGUAUCUUACGUGAUGAAAGUGUUACGUGUUUUGCAUUAUGACAUAUACUUUCGGUACCGUAUAAAAAUUGAUUGCUCUAGUAUAAUAUCUAGCGUUUUUGAAGAUGAAAAUGUUACGUGUUUUGUUUUAUGACAUAUACUUUUGGUAUCAUAUUAAAAUAGAUUGCUCUAGUAUAAUAUCUAGUGUUUAUGAAGAUUACAUAUGAGACUUUUGGGAUUAGAAAUGGAAAGUGUCGUUGAACGAGUUUAUGGAUUUGUUAACAUUGUAUAACUUAUAAUGCUUUGACUUUUUGAUAUGAUAUUGUUGUAAACCCCAAAUAAAGAAUAAUAUUCCAAACAUUUCAAAGUAAAUUUUCUUUGGAAUCAAUUUAUAUAAAGCAUUACCUAAUGUUUUUUUUAAAUGACAUUUUCAUGAUCUAAUAAGGUAAUGAAAAUUUCGGUCACGACUAAGCCUCACACGUUGUCUGACGCUGAAUUUGAUGUUGGGAGAAAUCCAUGUCAAAUAUGAAGAUUGCAAGAAUAAAAAGUAAUUUAUAAUUAUAAUAUAUAUCAUUUCAUUCCAUAAGGAUUGGAAAAAAAAAAACACCCCUCUCCUUUAGAACUCGAUCAUAAUCGGAAUUUCAUUCCUCACACUUCAUGCUAUUCCUCAGUGGCAACCAAAGACGAAGAUUUUAUGCAUAAAAGUAAUUCUUAAAGUAAAUUAUUGUAACGCCUUGUUCCGAAUUGUUUCUUAUUUAGAGGCGAGUGAUGUAAUUUGGAUGAUUUGGGUGUUAGGUUUGUGUUUUGGAGCCAAUGGGUAUUUUCGGUAAAGUGUCAGUUCAUGUUUUAUGGAAUUGAAUCAUUGUUCGGGAAAUUUUAUGGCAUGUAUAAGUUGAUAAAAGCGUAGAGCCUCUUGCUACGUUUUCAUGGAUAUAAGGAUCAUCAGAGUAUUUUAGGGUUUAAGAAGAAACCCUAGUUUGUGGGUCGUACAUAGGGAGUAUGUGGGACGUACUGGUGCGAAGUGUAGUACGUGAGGCGUACUUUGGUGUACGCUUAGCGUACUACGAAGGAUGGAUCGGGAGUGUGAGGCCAUGUAUGUUGGGCGUACAAGGAUUAUGCGGGGCAUACGAGGAAUAGUGGAAACCUUAAUUUUAAGUGUGUGUUCCCUAUUUAAGCAUCUUAAGUCUUUAGGGUUGGCCUCUUUACCAUCCCCCAAGCCUCUUAAAACCCUAAAUUGACCCUUAGCCUCCAUUAAUGUGCAUUUGAGCUCUUGAGGAAAAUUUGAUGUUGUUUUGCUCAUUUUUAAAGAGAUUGAAGAAGGAUGAAGGUUCAUAGCUUGGUGGGGAACUUAGAGAUCCAUAAUCAUUCAUCACAUUGCAAGCCCUUGGAAGUAUCAAGUUCAAAUCUUGACUUGUUAAUGUUUGGAUCUCUUGUUGUCUUGAUUUUCAUGCUUUUGGCUCCCUUUUUGGGUUAAUUGAUGAGUUAAGUUGUUUGAAUGACUUAUUCUUCUGGAUAUGAGUUGUUUUGAGGUUCUUAUGCAUAAAGGUGCAAGCUUUAUGAGGUUUAAGGUCACAUGCAUGUGUUAACUCACCCAAUAGUCCUUUUCAGCUUUAAGAGCUUCAUUUAGUCAUGCAUGAAUGUAAAGUUGACAACUUUGUGCGAUUAUCUAGCCUAAGGAAGUCAGAUCUAUGUUUUGGAACAAUGUCUUAAGGGAUUAAGGGUUGAAUGUGAAAGGUGGUUGUUCAGGAGGAGUAUGUUGGGCGUACAAGCCUGUACGCGCAGGAUACAAGCCUAUACGUGUAGCAUACAAGCUCUAAAGCAUGUACGCUUAAUAUACAGCUGAAUACGCCCCGCGUACUUAGCAGAGUGGGCCUCGAAUCUUUGGUCUUCGGUUUGUGCCAUGUUUUGGGAUUUGAUGUUUAGGGUUUUGUUGGGCCAUCUGAUUUCUGGUGUUUUGGGCUGGGUAUAUUAUUGGGCCUUGGGUUAAGGCCCAUGGAAGCGAUUUUGGCCCAAUUUGGAAAACUGGGCCAUGUUUGGGCCUUGGGUGUCUAUUUGAAAUUGGGCUUUUGGAUUGUUGGGUUGGGCCUUGGCCUUGUGCCAAGUUAUGGAGAGGACAAAAAGGUCUUUUACCCUGGUUCAGACAUUUUAUAUGAGUCGGGAUCCCAGUAUUUAUUUGGAUUAUGUUUUGUGAUUAUAACGUGGGGAUUUUAGCGGGUCAGCAACUAGAGAUUUAUCUGCGAGAUUCAGAAGUGUAAGGUGAGUCUCCUCACUUAAUUUAGCGGUUCAAAGGCAUCAAUGUCGGCCCAUGGUUUAUAUGUUAGGAUGUUACAUGUCUGUAUGACUCUUGCAUGUGUUAUGUGAUGGUACCGGGCAAGGCCCAAUGCCAGGUGGGGCCUGAUAAGUAUAAUGUAUGCUAGUUAUCAGUAGGUGUUCUCCAUAUGGUAUAUGUUUGGGACGUUUUAAUUAUAUUUUUGUCGGCCCAUGGUUUAUAUGUUUGGGACGUUUCAAUUAUAUUUUGCUCCAUAUGGUAUACAUAUUUAUGUAGGUUUGGUCGUAGUUUUUAAAAUUUGCCAUGAGUUGUCCUCAUGGUUGUAAAAUCCAUCAAAAAUGUCCUCUCACUAUGUUACUGACUAUAUAAAUAUGUUAAAGAAACAUCAUGUGCUUCUCAUAAGAGGGCAUUUUGCUAUUUUCCUCCCUUUUUUUUUGUCUCUAACGACUUUAUGCCGUUAAUAAGUUUAUUUAUUCCUACGAUUUGCAUAAUUUGUCCCUAGGAUAAAGUUUCCAUUAUUCACCAAAGAAAAACUAUCCAUAUUCUUGAUUUUCAUCAAAUAGUUACUCCUUUUGUUAGUCUACUGCAACAAAAAAAUUCAAAACAUUUUUGAAGGAUCGGUAUUAAGAGAGAUAAAAUGAUUUGUUAAUAUAUUAUAUGAUUAACAUAUUAAUCAUAAUUACUCAAUAAUUAAUUAAGAAUUAAUCAGAAUUAAUUUUGGGUUAAUUAGAAUUAACUAAAAUGUGAAAUUAUCCAAUAGUUUAACAAGGAAGGAAAUUCUAAAACCCUUCUACCUAUGUUCGGUUUUGGUGUCGCUUAGGAAAGGUUAUGGAAGCAAUCUGAUUCCAAUAAGGAAAUUGCAUUUGAAUCAGAUUAAAAUAUUAUUAUUUCAAUAUUCAAAUUUAGGGUUUCAGGGUUAGCAAUAUAAAUGGUCUUAACCGUAAGCAAAGCCGAUCCCUAACCUCCUCAAUAAAGAAUUUGAAAUUCUCCCUCCCCCUAUAUCCUAAAUAUCGCUCCUAGGAUUUCCUACGGUUUUGGGUGCGAUUUAUUAGUAGCUACCACACUAUUGGAGCUAAGUUUUCCAAAUGAGAUCUACAAGAAGGUUUCUAGCAUCAGUUGUUUGUUGCUAAAUGUAUGAUUCUAACCCUAAGUAAUUUCAAUUAUAGUAGGUUAUAAGUUGUUUCUUAAAGUAUGUAGCUAUAAUAGUGAAAAUGCCAUAAAAGUUCUAGGUUGCAUUUGCUCAUAAGAGUUUAUGUGUAAAAUCCUUUAUGCGGAUCUUUUUAUUGUAACAUAGAAAACCCAUCAGCUCCAACCAACAAUGUGGAACUUAUGAGUAUUAAAACAUGUUAUUAAUGUUAAAGAAUCUUCUAGUAAGUGUUUAUUGUCCCACCAUCGUAGGGAUUUGCAUAAAAUACUCUCCAUUUGUUUGUUAUUUUGUAAAGGGUUUUGAACGGUACUUCAUGAUGCAAAUCAACCAUGAUGGGUUUUUUUCAAAAGCUCCAAUAAUAAAAUACAAUGGUGAUAAGGUUACAUACAUUGAAAAUGUGGAAAUUGAAGAGUUUUCUAUAUAUGAAUUAAAUGUUGUGGUGUAAGAAUUAAGGCAUCUCAAACAUGAGCCUAUUAUCAUUUCUUCAUGCCUAAAGGUUAGCUUGUUUUUGGUUUUUAACUACUUAGCAAUGACCAAAUGUGAUUAAUCUUUCAAGGUGUAUAGGGAAAUUAAAGAGAUAAAUAUUUGCACUAGACAUGGUAAAAUCCAGCUACAUACAUACUUCAUGCCCCAUGUUAAAGUUAUUAUCCAAGAAAUUGAAAAUUCUUCAUUCCUAAGAUAUAAUAGGAACAAAAAAAGAUGAUAGAAACGGGUUCAUAUAUUGAGAAUCUUAAUUUUCACUUUAACACACCAUUGUAUUUUUCCCAAGUCAUUCAUAUUAAUGCACAUGAUCAAACAUUAAAUGGCAUAGUUUAUUUCUAUAGAACCGGUAAAAAUUAAAUGGAAUCCUUAGUUGUUGAUGAAUAUUUUGGUACAAGAUCAAGGUCAUGCUCAAGCUUUGCCACACGAGUUAAUUACUACCCUUAUUGUUGAACAAGAAUCAGGUCGUGAUCAAGUUUCGACACAAUAUUUUAUUAAUCCCUUUGUUUUUUAACAUUAAGUCACAGACAAAGUAAUGUUAACGAUCCCAUGUUUGAUUAAGAAGACUUGACUUUUCGACCCAUUCUUUGACUUAGGAGAUAAUGAUAUAUCAUAUGAGGAUAUAAUAGAAGAGGAUUAUGAAGUUGAAAAUCAAGUUGAAUAUGAACCACAAGUUAAAAAGACAUUAGGGGCAUUUGUUGAUGACAUGUAUCAAGAUCAUGCAUCAAGUUAUGAGAGUAAUAAUGAUGAUAUCAUAUUUGAUAGUGACUUUUAAUUGGAAGAUCAAGAAUUAAUAAAAGAUUUAGACAUAGACAUGGUUGAUCCAGUAGUUUAGGGUUUUGGUAGGUAACAAGACAAUGAUGUGGAUACAUACUUCAAACCAAACUAAUAUUGAAGUGAUAGAGACAACAUAGUUCAUAUUUUAUGGUAUAAAAUAGUAUAGAAGAAAUCGGAUAUUAUCAAACCUAAGGCAAUCAAGGACAUGCUUGGCAACUGAAGUGAGUGAGGAUAGGUUCUCACUUGGUGAAAUGUUUAUAAACAAGAAACAUAUGAAAUAGGUAAUUACUAAUCUUGAAAUAGAAAGUAUAAGAUAUUGACAUAUUUUCAAAAAUAAUAAAGUCUAAAUAAAGGUUGUUUGUAGAGGCUUCGUGACAAAUUUAAAUGAAAGUGGUCCAUCUAAAAGCAUUAAAGACAAAGGGAAACUUAAGUUGGUAAAAUCAAAUAGUAUUUAAUUUCCUUUAAAUACUUCAUACUUCUAUGUUAAAGAAACAAGAUGAUUCAAUGGUUAAAAAGACAUUAUAAUGUGAGAGGAAAAGAGAGGAAAAGACAAACAUGUCCAUGUAUAAGGGGCACACGAUGCCUCUUUAAUAGACUUUGUUAGAAAAUAAUAGAGGGAGGGACCGUUAUUGAUAGAUUUACUAAUCAUGAUGACCACUAGUGUCAAAUUUCAAAAACUAUGAACAAACCUACAUAAAGGUAUACCAUAGGAACCAAAACUAUAAUGUACUCUACACAAAACUACAAAAUUCUUCCUUGUGGUUUGCAAAAAAAAAAAACUAUGGAUAGGGUCUAAAACGUUUUCGAAUUGCAUAAAAUGUCCAAAAUCAGGAAAUUCCUAUGAUUUUGGUCCAUGGAAAACUUGAAAUGACAGCUUUUCCAUUUUAAUUUAUGUUUUAUGUUUGUUUUAUAUUUUAUUAACUAAAAAUAACAAACAUGUUCCCAACCUUUCUCUCUCUCUCUCUCUACCAAACAUCUUCCUUAUCCCUUCUUGUUUUUUCUCCCCUUAAUUCUAAUUUGGAAGAUAAUUCCGGAAUUCAAAAACUUGUAAUCCAUAUGUAACGUAAUACCCAUUUUUCAUUCUUGUAACCCAUAUAUAAGUUCAAAAUUCAUAUGAUACACAUAUGUGCAUUCAAUCGUACCAAGAGAGAAAGAAGGGAGAGAGAGACUCCAAAUAUGAAAUCCUUGAUAGUACAUGAAAGUUGAUCUUUAUCCUAUCCAAACUGAGUAAAUAUUAUGAGAUCAAGUGAAACGACCCAAAAAUACGGUUCGAAAUUUUCAUUUUUAAUAUAACCAAAAAUCAUAAAACUGAGUAUAUCAUAAUAAGACCAUGCGUUGCGUAUCUCAAAACCAUACUAAAAUAUUGUAAAAAGUAAACUGUGCCACAACUGUAUCAAAACAUAUCUAAGAAAACUGAAUCAACUCCCAGGAUAAAAACUGAAGCUAUGGUGUGUGCGAUGCCAUCAUCCCGAGCUCUUCCCUUUGCUUGUGGAAGUACCUGAAACCAAAACUGAAACUGUAAGCACGAAGCUUAGUGAGCUCCCCCAAACUACCACAUACCACACAAUAACAUAUAAAGCACAUACUGGGCCUUGCCCACUGCAUCAAACCGAAGUCCGACUAACUGGGGCCUUGCCCCCUACAUCGGACCGAAGUCCGAAGCUAACUGGAACAUCGGACCGAAGUCCGAAGCUGACUGAGACCCUCGUCCCCUACAUCGAACCAAGUCCGAAGCUGACUAGGACAUCAGACUGAAGUCCGAAGCUGACUGGGACCUACGUCCCCUACAUCGGACCGGAGUCCGAAGCUGACAUCGGACCGAAGUCCGAAGCUGACUGAACAAAGCAUAAACAUAUCAUCUACCAUAAACACAUAACCCUGUCUGAACCACGAAGGCAUCAAACAUACUAACUACUACAUCGGACCGAGGUCCGAAGCUGACUGCUAGCUAAACGGGUCGACAUUGUGGCCUUAGACCCAUUACUACUGGAAGGAAACUCACCUCGUGAACUGGCUGCUGUGUGAAUGGCUCUGGAAGCUAACUGUUGCUGCUCCGGUAUCUCCCCGGCUACAAGGCCAUAAACACACUCAAUCAAAUACUAAACACUGCACUGGGGUAAAAUAACUCUUUUACCCUUGGUCAAAGUCAACUCUCCCGGUCAAAGUCAACCCACAGUUGACCUGACUCGCCGAGUUGGGCCACCAACUCGCCGAGUCUCUAAUCUCAUUUCACAACCCCACUCGUGGCUACUCGUCGAGUAUGGCAUCGACUCGACGAGUACUCUCUCAAUCCAAGAACUCAGACAAUCUUCAUCCGACUCGCCGAGUCAUAUGAACAACUCGACGAGUUGUUCUUGAGCUUAAGAAGAUUGCCUUGGACUCGCCGAGUUGUAUGAACAACUCGCCGAGUCCCUCCAUUACUGAGUCUACCCUCAAACUCGCUGAGUCCACUCCACUACUCACUGGUCCCACUCGACACCGCUCAAAAGGAAGAAAUCGGGGACUCGCGACUCGACUCGCCGAGUCGUUCUUCCGACUCGCCGAGUCACAGCCAUGCAACUAUUCUACACUCGAUUCUGCUCGAAUCCAAAACAUACAAAUGAUAGAUCUGAGUCCAAUAAGCUGAUUUACCACGUAAAGUUUCCAACUUUACGUGUACAAACACAUGAACAAGGGAAUAAAGGCUAAAAGAUGCUUAAAAGGGGUAGAUCUAGGGUUAAUAUGCAAAAUAGCUCCAUAAAGGCAAUAGAUCUGGGCUCUACAACUCCUAAAUGAACAGAUCUAAGGAUAUCUCGACAUAAUAGGGCUUCCAUAUCAACAUAAGGCUUGAGAAAAGCAUCAACUAGAUCUAGAAGGGGUUUUAAAGCAUAAAAGGGAAGGAAAUCUGAAGAAUACCUCAAAGAGCUCUUGCUUUCCCUUGAAUCUCUGCUCUACAAUCCUUCUCCUUGCUCCUUUCUUCUUCUCCUUCUUCAAGCCUUCACAAAUGCACACAAGAUCACUUAAAACACUCAAGAUCGAAUUAGGGUUUUCUCACAGCUUUAGAGGGUGAAGGAGGCGAGAUUGGGGGCUAUAAGGUGGCUUAAAUAGUGGGCAACCCGGGGAUUUAGGGUUUCUCCCAGACGGACAGACUCGCCGAGUCCAGAAUAUGGACUCGCCGAGUCGCCAGCUAACACGUGCUCGAAAUCCCGACCCUACUCGGCGAGUCAGGCUAUGAACUCGCCGAGUCCCUCUUGCAAAACUUCAAAAUAAAUACCAAGGAAUUAUCAUACCGGAGACGGGUCGUUACAAUUCUCCCCCACUUAUCUCAGACUUCGUCCUCGAAGUCUGCUACGGCUGAAUCUGCAAAUAUCUCUGGGUAGUGCUCCCUCAUCUCCUCCUCAGCCUCCCACGUCCAUUCCGAUCCCUUCCGGUGCUGCCACUGCACCUUCACUAACUGAAUUACCUUGUUCCUCAAGGUCUUGGUCUUCCGGUCCAGAAUCGCGACCGGCCUCUCAAUAUAAUUCAGGCUACUAUCAACCUGAAUAUCCUCUAGGGGAACGACUGCUGACUCAUCCACCAAACACUUCCUCAACUGAGACACAUGGAAAGUGUUGUGGAUCUGACUAAGCUCCUCAGGAAGAUCUAACCGAUAAGCAACCCGACCCACCCGGGCCAAAACCCUGAAAGGACCAAUAAAUCUGGGGCCCAACUUGCCCCUCUUCCGGAACCUGAUGACACCCUUCCAAGGUGAGACCUUCAGAAGGACCAUAUCCCCCACCUGGAACUCCAAGUCCGAACGCCUCCUAUCGGCGUAGCUUUUCUGCCGACUCUGAGCAGUCUGCAGUCUACUACGGACCUGCUGGAUCAACUCAGUCGUCUUGAGCACCACCUCCGUGCUCCCGAUGACCCGCUGACCGACCUCGCCCCAACAAAUCGGGGUCCUACACUUCCUCCCAUACAGCAUCUCAAAGGGAGGUCGAUCAAUGCUCGCAUGAUAACUGUUGUUAUACGAGAAUUCCGCUAACGGAAGAUACGUAUCCCAACUGCCACCGAAAUCUAGGACACAUGCCCUAAGCAUGUCCUCGAGAGUCUGAAUCGUCCUCUCGCUCUGCCCGUCUGUCUGAGGGUGGAAAGCGGUGCUGAAAUGGAGACGAGUACCCAUCUCGUCGUGGAACCGCUUCCAGAAUCUGGAUGUGAAACGGACAUCUCGGUCUGACACCACCGAUACCGGCACUCCAUGACGUGCCACAAUCUCUCGCACAUAGAUAUCGGCUAACUUCUCCGCCGAUAUACUCUCCUGGAUCGGGAUAAAAUGGGCACUCUUCGUCAACCGAUCCACUACUACCCAUAUCGAAUCCACUCCUCGUGCGGUCCGGGGAAGCUUGGUGACAAAAUCCAUGGUAAUGUCCUCCCAUUUCCACACGGGAAUGUCUAACGGCUGCAUCCUGCCGUGAGGUCUCUGGUGCUCCGCCUUGACCUUCCGGCAGGUCAGGCAUCUCUCGACGUACCAGGCGACGUCCCGCUUCAUGCAGGGCCACCAAUAAUCAGGUCGAAGAUCUCGGUACAUCUUCGUCGCCCCUGGGUGGAUAGAAAACCGAGACUUAUGAGCCUCAUCCAUCAACACUUGCCGUACUCCACCCCAGUACGGUACCCACACUCUCCCGUGAAGCGUCAGCAAACCACGACUAUCAUAAUCAAACGAGGCUACUCGGCCCACGAUCCUCUCACACUUCUGUCUCUCCUCCUUGAGACCCUCCACCUGAGCCUCCUUGAUCCGCUCCAACAACGGAGUGAUCACUGUCAUCCUCAAACAUAGAUCCCUGAUAGGGGCCGCCGACACUUUGCGGCUUAGGGCGUCGGCCACCACGUUGGCCUUCCCUGGAUGGUAAAGGAUCUCACAAUCAUAAUCCUUUAGCACAUCCAACCACCUCCUCUGCCUCAUGUUCAGACUCGGCUGAUCCAUAAGGUACCUCAAACUCUUGUGAUCCGUGUAAAUAGUACAACGGACCCCAUAAAGGUAAUGCCUCCAAAUCUUGAGGGCAAACACAACUGCCCCCAGCUCCAAAUCAUGGGUAGGAUAAUUAGCCUCGUGAGGCUUCAACUGUCUCGAGGCAUAAGCUAUCACAUGGCCUCGCUGCAUCAAAACUGCUCCCAUACCUGUGAUCGAGGCAUCACAAUAGACUACAAAGUCCUCUACUCCCUCUGGCAAGGUAAGGAUCGGAGCCUCGCAUAAUCUCUGCCUGAGGGUCUCGAACGCUGUCUGCUGCUCCGGACCCCAACGAAAUACCACUGACUUCUUGGUCAGUCGGGUGAGCGGCACUGCUAUCUUGGAGAAAUCCUGAAUAAAUCUCCGAUAAUACCCUGCCAACCCUAGGAAGCUCCGAAUCUCAGAUGGAGACUUCGGGACCUCCCACUGCAUCACGGCCUCUAUCUUGGCCGGAUCUACCAAAAUACCCUUCUGGUUGACGAGGUGACCAAGGAACUGCACCUCGCGCAACCAGAACUCACAUUUGGAGAACUUUGCGAAAAGUCUCUCCCUCCUCAAAACCUCCAGCACCUCCCGCAGGUGCUCCUCGUGCUGCUCCUGCGUCUUGGAAUAUACCAAGAUAUCAUCUAUGAACACUAUCACUGACCGAUCCAGCAUCGGCCUACACACGCGGUUCAUGAGAUCCAUGAACGCGGCUGGAGCAUUGGUGAGCCCAAAUGGCAUCACCACAAACUCGUAAUGACCAUACCUGGUCCUGAAAGCAGUCUUCUGUACAUCCUCAUCUCUAACCCGCAUCUGAUGAUAUCCGGAGCGUAGAUCGAUCUUGGAGAACCAAGACGCUCCCUGAAGCUGAUCAAACAAAUCAUCUAUCCUCGGGAGUGGGUAACGGUUCUUCACCGUUACCUUAUUCAACUCCCGAUAAUCAAUACACAUACGAUGCGACCCAUCCUUCUUUCUCACAAACAGGAUCGGCGCUCCCCAAGGCGAACUGCUCGGCCGAAUGAAACCCUUGUCUAACAGCUCCUGCAGCUGUGUAGACAACUCCUGCAUCUCAGGGGGAGCUAGUCGAUACGGUGCCUUGGCUAUCGGAGCCGCACCAGGAAUGAGGUCGAUCCUGAACUCAACCUGUCUCUCAGGAGGUAUCCCCGGCAAAUCCUCGGGAAACACAUCCGGGUAGUCUCGAACAAUAGGAACAUCAUCAACUGUCGACUUGCCCUUCUCCCGGGCAUCCAAAACGUAAGCUACAAAACCGGCGCAACCCUGCUGAACAUAGCGCCUCGCCCUUGCGGCGGAACAAAAGGUCGGUCCUCGCUGUGGCCUCUCGCCCUGAAUCACUAACUCUCCCCCACUGGGAGUGCGAACCCUCACUAAAUGAAGCUCACAAUCAAUCACAGCCCCAUUGGGGCUUAGCCAAUGCAUGCCCACAAUAACCUUAUUCCCUCGCAGGGGAAUAGGAACCAGGUCCACCGAAAACUGCUCAUCAAACAACUGAAGAGAACACCCUCUAUGCACUCUGCCGACCCUCACGGUCCUGUCAUCUGCUAUCUCAACCUCUAAUGGACAAUCCAGCUCCCCUGGAGCUCUACUAAAUCUCUUGCUAAGCGCAAGCGAUACGAAUGAUCGGGUAGCCCCCGAAUCGAAUAAUACCAUAGCAGAAAUGCCGUUCACAGAGAACGACCCUAUAUAAAACAUACAAUCAUAAGCAAUAAUCAAUCAAUAAUAAUAAAGAGAUGAAGGGAAGAUACAUACCCGUCACCACAUCAGGAGUCGCUCGCGCCUCCUCUGCUGUCAUCUGAAACGCCCUACUCUUCGCCACUGGCGCCUCAGCUCGGCCCUGCCGGCCAUCUGUAAUCCUCAAAGUAGCAGGGGCAGGUGCAGCCACCUUCCCUACUGCAGCUAAACUCGGACACUGGGACUUUUUAUGUCCCCUCUGAUUGCACUGAAAGCAAAUCAGAUCUGAUGCUGCAACGGCAGUAGCAGGGGCCGUACAAUCCCUGCUCAAAUGCCCAGUCCGACCGCACUUGUAGCAGCCGGAACUCCCUGCCUUGCACACCCCAUCGUGCAAUCUCCCACACUUGCCACAUCGACCGUGGCUCUGCUGACUCCUGGAUCUGUGAUCAGAAACCUUGGGCUUUUUGCCCGAACUGCCUGUACCCGAAACCGCCUCCGGUUUCCUCUUCUUCUCCAUCUCGAGAUCAAUCUCCCUCUCCCGAGCCCUAGCAAUCAUGUCAUCCAGCGUUUUACAGCUGGACCGGCUCACAAACUGGCGGAUAUCGCUCCGCAACAUCUCAUGAUAACGGGCCUUCUUCAUCUCCUCAUCGGCUGCAUACUGAGGAACAAGAAGAGCCCUCUCCCUGAACUUGGCGGUGAUCUCCGCCACGGUCUCUGUAGUCUGGGUGAGGUCCUGAAACUCUCUGGCUAACUGCUGCACCUCAAUAACUGGUGCAAACUCCGCCCUGAACCUGGUAGAGAAAUCAGCCCAGGUCAUGGCAUCCAACGCUGCAUCAUCUCCAAUGGUAUGUCCGACCUCCUCCCACCAAUCCCGUGCCCUGUCCUUCAGAAGACAGGACGCCAAUCUGACCUUGUCCCCCUCGGGACACCUGCUAGUGCGGAACGCGUUGGCCACAUCCGCCAACCAUCUAGUACUCGCUAUGGGGUCCCGCGCCCCAUGAUAGUCUGGAGCUCCACAUGCCCUGAACUCCCUGAAUGUAAGUGUGCGCGACCCCAUCAUGGCCGCCACCUCGGCACGGAAGGUGCCCAAUCUCUCAUCCAUCAGCUCUAGGAUACCCUCCUUGAUCGAACCGAAGAUCACAGGAGUCUGCUCUAAAAUGAUACGAGUAAUCUCUGAAGAAAGAAACUCUCUGGUCUGCUCAUCCAUGCGCUCGUCCCCCGAGCCUGAUCCUGAUCCCUCCCCGGCACCUCCACUGCCGGCUGCUGUCCUCGGACGCAAAACCACCAUUCUGAAACACAUCAUAGCAAUAUCAGAAAACUGAAAUAUCUCAAGGGAUCAUUGAUACUACUACUAGCUUCCUGGUCUUGUCUCGGCCUUCCUUGAUUCGAGUACGGAUCCUCUGCUUUCAGUAGUACGGGCCCAUACUACCUUCCACAUCUAUCCGUACUUUCCUCAAGAACCGCCUUGACUCCACCAAGUCACUUCUACUACUACUGAUCUCUGCUACUCUCAUCCUAGGCUUGCCCUAGGGAAAUCUCUGACUCCACUCAAACCAGUCCUCAGCUGCCGAAGGCCUCCUUGUAAUGCUAAUUAGCCACCACCUGAAUACCAUCACAUGCAAUGAGGCUCGGAUAAUCCUUCGAGUAAAAGACUCGUCCCUACAACGGUUGGACUCAGACAAGAGCUGCGCAAUAGGGCCAAAUCCAGCACUCUGAGAUUAUUCAACCCUGAUCACAUGUGAUGUGGCGUAUUCACCUAAUGGCUAACUCCCAUCACUCAGAGUCUCACAAAGCACAAAGCAAGCAACAUUCGGAUAAGGGAAACAUACUCAUGCAAAACUAUUCUCAUAACGAGAAGUUACUCUAGCAUACAAUGCUAAGCUCGCGCUACCAGGCAUAACCUAAACAGGCUAUCCUACUGUUGUCUACUUAGUACUAGCAUGCAAUUCUCAUAAAGCUGUAACACAUAUAGCAGGCACAUAAGGCAUCCUCCUAGAUCCUUAGUCCUAUACUAGCAUGUUGUUCUACUAAAACUGGAACAAUUAAUCAUAAUAAUAAAACUUGUAUUGGUAAUUUGGGAGUAGUUACUUGAGCUCGGCUGAUCACAUGCACCACACCCUUAUCUUGUUUAAAAAUUCUUUUCUUCUAAGUGCUUUUUCAAAAUCUCAUUCGAAAACAUUUUUCUUUUUUUUUUUGAAAAUCUUUUUAUCUUUCCCUUAGUUUGAGUUCAGAUGCACCUGGAGGUGUAUCCGAAUCCCUCAAACCAGGGCUCUGAUACCAACUUGAAACGACCCAAAAAUACGGCCCGAAAAUUUCAUUUUUAAUAUAACCAAAAAUCAUAAAACUGAGUAUAUCAUAAUAAGACCAUGUGUUGCGUAUCUCAAAACUAUACUAAAAUAUUGUAAAAAGUAAACUGUGCCACAACUGUAUCAAAACAUAUCUAAGAAAACUGAANAAUCAACUCCCAGGAUAAAAACUGAAGCUGUGGUGUGUGCGAUGCCAUCAUCCCGAGCUCUUCCCUUUGCUUGCGGAAGUACCUGAAACCAAAACUGAAACUGUAAGCACGAAGCUUAGUGAGCUCCCCCAAACUACCACAUACCACACAAUAACAUAUAAAGCACAUAUUGGGCCUUGCCCACUGCAUCGGACCGAAGUCCGGCUAACUGGGGCCUUGCCCCCUACAUCGAACCGAAGUCCGAAGCUAACUGGAACAUCGGACCGAAGUCUGAAGCUGACUGAGACCCUCGUCCCCUACAUCGAACCAAGUCCGAAGCUGACUAGAACAUUGGACCAAAGUCCGAAGCUGACUGGGACCUACGUCCCCUACAUCGGACCGGAGUCCGAAGCUGACAUCAGACCGAAGUCCGAAGCUGACUGAACAUAGCAUAAACAUAUCAUCUACCAUAAACACAUAACCCUGUCUGAACCACGAAGGCAUCAAACAUACUAACUACUACAUCGGACCGAGGUCCGAAGCUGACUGCUAGCUAAACGGGCCGGCAUUGUGGCCUUAGACCCGUUACUACUGGAANNNNNNNNNNNNNNNNNNNNNNNNNNNNNNNNNNNNNNNNNNNNNNNNNNNNNNNNNNNNNNNNNNNNNNNNNNNNNNNNNNNNNNNNNNNNNNNNNNNNNNNNNNNNNNNNNNNNNNNNNNNNNNNNNNNNNNNNNNNNNNNNNNNNNNNNNNNNNNNNNNNNNACCCUACUCGCUGCUACUCGUCGAGUAUGGCAUCGACUCGACGAGUACUCUCUCGAUCCAAGAACUCAGACAAUCUUCAUCCGACUCGCCGAGUCAUAUGAACAACUCGACGAGUUGUUCUUGAGCUUAAGAAGAUUGCCUUGGACUCGCCGAGUUGUAUGAACAACUCGCCGAGUCCCUCCAUUACUGAGUCUGACCUCAAACUCGCUGAGUCCACUCUACCACUCACUGGUCCCACUCGGCAUCACUCAAAAGGGGAAAAACGGGGACUCGCGACUCGACUCGCCGAGUCGUUCUUCCGACUCGCCGAGUCGCUUGCAUGCAGCAACUCAAAACUCGAUUAUGCUUGAAUCCAGUGUAUAAAACUUAUAGAUCUGGACUCCCUUAACUCGAUUAGCACGUAAAGAUUCUAUCUUUACGUGCCCAUAUGCAUCCAUGAAGCUAAAAUGGCUCAAAAAGCAUAAUAAGGCUAGAUCUAGAGUUUUCAUUGCAAGGUAACUUCAAAAAGGCAAUAGAUAUGGGCUCUACAACUCCUAAAUGAACAAAUCUAAGGAUAUCUCGACAUAAUAGGGUAUCCAUACAAUCAUAAGGCUUGAGAAAGGCAUCAAACUAGCUCUAGAAGAGUUCUAAUGGAGGUUUAAAGCAUAAAACAGGAGGGAAUCCGAAGAAUACCUCAAAGAACUCUGAUUUGCCCUUGGAUCUUUGCUUUACACCUCUUCUCCUUGCUCCUUUCUUCUUCUCCUUCUUCAAGCCUUCAAAAUUUAACACAAGAACACUUAGAUCACUCAAGGAUGGAUUAGGGUUUUCUCACAGCUUUCUGAGGGUGAAGGAGGCGAGAAUGGGGGCUAUAAGGUGGAUUAAAUAGUGAGCAACCCGGGGAUUUAGGGUUUCUUCCAGGCAGGCAGACUCGCCGAGUCCUGAAUAUGGACUCGCCGAGUCGCCGACUAACACGUGCUCGAAAUCCCGUCCCUACUCGGCGAGUCAGGCUAUGAACUCGCCGAGUCCCUCUUGCAAACUUCAAAUAAAAUACUAUGGAAUCACCAUAUCGGAGACGGGUCGUUACAUCAAGAUUUUCCGAGAAAGCAAGCAUUUCCAAGCUACUUAGUGUUUCCAAACUAUAGUUGUUUCCGAGUUUAUCCCUUAAGAGAGAAUGGACUAAUUUGCAUUUUGUCUUAUGUUUGUUUUAGAAUAGGGGACAAGAUUAACAAUUGUAAGACCAACAUAUUCGAGCUAGUCAAUUAAGAUAUAAUAGGUGUUAAAAAUAACUUUUUGAUAGAAGAUUAUUUAGGACAAAUAAUUUUAACAAAUGUUAUAGUAUAUGUGGCAAGGAUUCCAGAGAUAUGAGGAACGCUUAAAUCCGACUUAUAACGAAUAAUUUAUGACACAUUGAAGUUUUAUGAUU